CUCCACCCCUCCUUCCUCCACUUUCCCUCUCCUGGGCGAGUGGGGCUGCGCUGGAGAAGGUUAAACCUGGACCCCUGUGGAGGGACCGCGACCAAAGUUUCACAAAAUGGUAGUGCCUCUCCAAAACAAGACUCGGAAGAAACUGUACUGCAGAAGUUAGCUGGAGGAAAAACAGCUUAUAAAUCUCGAUCUUUUGCUGGGGAAAAAAAAAAAAAAAGAAAGAAAAAUAGUAAGUUUCCAAACAAAUGCGCGCUUUCCUUCUUUUCUUCUCUAGGAAAAGGUAGCCAUUGCUCUUCUUUAGACUAGACAUUUCUAAUUUGUUCCGUCUGUCAGAAUGGGACUAUGAGAGGUUUUGGUGCAAAUUCAUUAUCUCUGGCAACGCACAACGUAUAGCAGGAGCUGAAAAAGACCGUGGCAAUGGAUGAACAAUAGGGCUUCAGUCCAUCAGCAACAAAAGCGUUGGGGAAAUUGGUUGAAUUUCUGAGCACGUCCUCCUCAGCAGGGAGGGCUGGACUAGACCUUGGCCAACCCCCCCAAAAAACUUGCAGAUCCUCGCAUAGAACACUUCACUUUCUACUCCGGGGCGCAGGAAGCCAUAUGGAAAGAAAAGGAGGAAAAGAGGGGAAAAAAGAAAGGAAGAAAAAAAGCCAAACCGAAGUCAGCUUCUGCGUUUCUCUCCCUGUUUUGUUUUGUUUGUUUCUGGAUGGAAGAUUUCCGACUCAGCGCCGUUCGGACAAGAAUGACACCGUGGAGCUAAGCGGCACUUUUAAAUAGGGAUGGCGAGGGGAAAGACGCGAGUUUCAUGGAGACAUGGAAGAGCUUUCUCUGCUCCGAGGGGGCCUUGGCCUGGGGAUCUUUGUUUGCCAUCGAAGGCUCAGCUCGCCCUCAGCUCAAUUGAUGUGAGGUCAAUUUUUCCUCUGAUAAAGACGAAUAAAUGUUUAGACAACGCAGACAGACCACAGGGACUGACAACCACGACAAUAAACGGUAACUUCUUUUUGUUGUUUAAUAGAAGUCUGACGCUACUGUAUGCUUUACCUACAGGUAAAUGUUCUUUGGCAGCAUGCAGUGUUUCCAUGUGUAUUGACUGACUGUUGGUGGUUUUAAUACUUCUCCCUCCGCUCCCCUCUUCCCGCCCCGCCCCCCCCCCUCCCCACCCCCCCGGCUUUGCAUUCUUCAGUCUGUCUGUUCUCUUGUAAUAGUUUGGACUUGUAGUAGAUGUCCCUUUGCAUACCGUACGUUCGACAUAACAGGAGUAUAAUCUGCAGUAAAAUGAAAUUGUGGUCACAAAAGAAGUGGCGAGGCACCUUUAUUAGAAGGCGGCCCAGGCCAGUGACUUACCUGGCUGGGAGGAGGAAAGGGAUGCUCUGCAGGGAAAGCUGGCCUGGGCUGUACUGGAGUGCCGUGGUUUGCAUCUACAUGAGUUCUGCCAUAAAUUGGUGCAAAAAGGGGGUUUAUGUAAUGCUAUGCCCUGCCUAUGUAACUCCCAGCAGCUGAAGGGGGACUCCUGUGUGUCUUCCCCAUGGAAGGUGAUGAUGUUGGCAUUAGGAGGGGGCUCUGAUUGCAAUAAUCCGAGAAUCAUAGGCAUUCCUCUUUGAAGUCAAUAGGGACUGUUUACUCCUAAGAAAUUCACGCAGGAUGUUCUUUACAUCACAGCCAUCUGGAGACCUAUAAAAAGAUUAGAAAACAAGCAAGGCAAUCACAUAUUAAUCUACAGGCCAUUAGUGGGAAUUUAUUAGGGAGGCAGGGGGAAAAAGUCUGUGUUUGGAUUGUGUAUCUUGAGUAUGCAGAUCACUUCUACAUGAACUAUUUGGAACGAACAAGUUGUAUAUGUUUAUGUAAACUGGGAGAAAACAGACAGUGUAAAUGGCCACUUUUGACAAUUCAGGUGAUAUUUUUUGGCAGUAAUUUCAGAACUGCAGAUUGCUCAAACUUCCCACAUACUAGACAACACUGCGACCUUGGAAACACAUUUUGCAACGGCGAGAGCGAACCGGCAGCACAGCGCAGCGCUGCUCCCGGCCGGCAAGGCCCGCGGUCGGAGCUCUCCGCUGCGGCGGAGCGGCGCUUUCCCCGCUCUCGGGGAAAGGGGCUUUUAUCCCGCCGUAGCGAGGGUGGGUUGUUGUUUUCCUUUCCGUCCCCGCGGAGGUCAGAGCGGUCCCUGCGCUGGCGAGGAGGGAGGUAAAAUCCGGGAGCGGCGGAUGCUCGGAGGCGAGACGGGGCUCGUGCGUAUCAAUUAAGCCGCGUGCACUUGAGAUUUCUCAUGACAUCAUCAUUACCUCGGUCUCCUGCGGUCCGGGACCUCUGACCUCGCCGGGCUGGUCCACAUUUUGGCGGUGAAAAGCACACAUCACCAACCCCCACCCCACCCCCCCCUCCAAUGGUGGCCCUUUUCUCCUUCUUUCAGGCCGGGGGCAGCAGCAGGCAGGCGGGACAGCGUCUCUUCCCCCCCCCCCGCCACCAUCCUUCCCCCCCCAUUGCGAUAGGAAACCCGGGAAUCGAGGAACUUCCCCCAAAACACGCACGCACGCGAGGCAUUGGCAAUCAAGCCGCCACCAUUUGCUAAAAAGCUCCGUGCCGUGCAUAACCUGAAGGGAUAGGAGCCGCAUCCUCGAAUCAUCUUGUCACUUCCGACUGAAAUUGGAUUUUAUUUUCCUUCUUUUUUCCCCUUUUUUCCUUUUUCUUCUUCUUUCUCCUUACGCUGCGCUGGAAAUUGCUGGUGGCUUUACAUCUUCACAGAGCCUGAAGAGUCUCUUCUUGCAACCAGAGCGAUUUACAAUGCAAAUCGAGGCCUGCGAAGGGAUGGAUGCUUCUUCUCAGUCUUUAAACGCCUCGACGCACCUUAAUAUCUGGGGUUUAUUUUCUGGCAUUAAAUACGGACUGUUGGGUAUUGCUGCCGGAGGCCGAAAGGAAAAAAAAAUAAACGUUCGGAAUAAACUUUGAAGGCAACAGAUCUCUUUUGGAUGUUAUUAGCUGCACGUAUACGGCGGCACAUGAACCAGGUCACGACUUCGUACAAGGAUGAAUGUUGUAAAGGAGAAAUGGUACUCUUGGAGGACAGAGCACGCCUGUUUGUCAGAAAGAAUCUGGAUUCUAUCAAGGAAAAA
ensembl:lncRNA